UUUGAGAGUUUGAUCCUGGCUCAGGAUAAACGUUGGCGGCGUGCCUUAGGCAUGCAAAUCAAGGGGCUCCGACGCAAGUCGGAGAACCGGUGGACGGGUGAGUAAUACGCAGGAAUCUGCCUGGAAGUGGGAUAUAGCUCGGCGAAAGCCGGGGUAAUCUCCCAUGUGAACGCAAGUUUAAAGCCGCAAGGCGCUUCUAGAUGAGCCUGCGUCCUAUCAGCAGGUUGGUGGGGUAAUGGCCUACCAAGGCGACGACGGGUAGCUGGACUGAGAGGUCGGUCAGCCACAAUGGGACUGCGACCAGAACUGAUCGCCUGCGGCCCAUACACCUACGGGUGGCAGCAACCGGGAAUAUUCGACAAUGGACGAAAGUCUGAUCGAGCGACGCCGCGUGGAGGAUGAAGGCCCUCGGGUUGUAAACUCCUUUUAUCUGGGAAGAUUAUGACGGUACCAGAUGAAUAAGCACUUGCUAACUACGUGCCAGAAGCCUCGGUAAUGCGUAGAGUGCAAACGUUAUCCGGAUUUAUUGGGCGUAAAGAGUUGCGUAGGCUGAUCCGUGCAUUUUGUUUGAAAUGCUCUGACUUAAUCAGGGAUUUGGACAAAAUAUGGCGGAUCUUGAUGGUUGGAGAGGGUGCUGGAACCGAUGGUGUAGCAGUGAAAUGCGUUGAUAUCAUCGGGAACACCAAAGGCGUAGGCAGGCACCUAGUCAACCCAUGACGCUGAGGCACGAAAGCUAGGGGAGAGAAAUCGAUUAGAGACCGAUGUAUUCCUAGCCGUAAACUAUGUCCGCUAGAUAGUGGGUUUUCUCACUGUCGCAGCUAACGCGUUAAGCGGACCGCCUGGGGAGUACGAGCGCAAGCUUAAAACUCAAAGGAAUUGACGGGGACCCGCACAAGCAGUGGAGCGUGUUGUUUAAUUCGAUACGAAACGAAAAACCUCACCAGGGUUUGACAUGCUAGAGUUCCAUUCCGCCGAAAGGCGGGAAAUUCGCAAGAAGGCUAGCACAGAUGCUGCAUGGCU
rnacentral:rRNA from 1 species